rfam:Aspergillus terreus NIH2624 scaffold_7 genomic scaffold, whole genome shotgun sequence.
GGCAAGGUGGGAGAGUGGUUAAUCCGUCAGACUUGAAAUCUGAUCCCUUUGGGGUCGUCGGUUCGAAUCCGGCCCUUGUCG